UACGGGGGGGGCAAGCGUUGUUCGGAAUUACUGGGCGUAAAGGGCUCGUAGGCGGCCAACUAAGUCGGACGUGAAAUCCCCAGGCUCAACCUGGGAACUGCGUCCGAUACUGGAUGGCUUGAAUCCGGGAGAGGGAUGCAGAAUUCCAGGUGUAGCGGUGAAAUGCGUAGAGAUCGGGAGGAACGCCAGUGGCGAAGGCGGCUACCUGGACCAGCACUGACACUGAGGCACGAAAGCGUGGGGAGCAAACAGGG
rnacentral:rRNA from 1 species